AGAAUCAACGCUGGCGGCGUGCCUAACACAUGCAAGUCGCACGAGAAAGUGGAGCAAUCCACGAGUAAAGUGGCGCACGGGUGAGUAACACGUGAAUAAUCUACCUCCGAGUGGGGAAUAACUGAGAGAAAUCUUAGCUAAUACCGCAUAAUACCCACGGGUCAAAGCAGCAAUGCGCUUGGAGAGGAGUUCGCGGCCGAUUAGCUAGUUGGCGGGGUAAUGGCCCACCAAGGCGAUGAUCGGUAUCCGGCCUGAGAGGGCGCACGGACACACUGGAACUGAAACACGGUCCAGACUCCUACGGGAGGCAGCAGUGGGGAAUUUUGCGCAAUGGGGGAAACCCUGACGCAGCAACGCCGCGUGGAGGAUGAAAUCCCUUGGGAUGUAACUCCUUUCGAUAGGGAAGAUAAUGACGGUACCUAUAGAAGAAGCCCCGCUAACUUCGCGCCAGCAGCCGC
rnacentral:rRNA from 1 species